UCAGGAAAUAUCUCUUGAGAGUCAUGGCUCUUUUUAAAUCCACUGACUCAAACAGAUGACAUACUGUGGUGCGUAUGAGAAUGCCUGUUGACAUCUGCGCAUGGUAAGAAAAAGACAAAUCCAUGCUGAGAUCAUGUGUCUAAAGCCAGAAACUAGCAGUGGUCCCUUAACAACAUGGAUGAACUGGCACACAGGGUCCCUCCAACUCCCACUAUGACCUCACUACUGCUUAGAAGGUGAGCAUUUGCCUCUUGUGCUUGGGUGGUUCUGGGUAGAGCUUCAUGUUCACUUUCCCCCUCGCCAGUACCUGGGAAUUCCGUGGCUUCAGGUGCUCCAAGUCUCCAGCUCUUCUAGCCUCCAUUUCCAUGCUGGAAGGAAAACCAUCUGAAGUUUAGAUUUGCUAUUUUUUCCCCAAUGUUUUCCUACAAGGUAGACAAAGUAUAGUGAAAGCAAAAAAAAAAAAAAAAAAAAAAAAAAAAAAAAAAAAAGUACAGCAGCAUGACGUACAGUUUGAGAUACAGAAAGGAGAACAAAGAUAUAAAAUCAGAAGCAUUACCACUGAAGAGAAGAUACCUCUUAUCACUACUAGUGUUCAACAUGGAGCUAGAAGAUCUACCCAGUGUAAUACAUCAAGAAACAGCUAAGACAUUCGGAUUGGUUGUCUUAACCAGCACCAAGAAAGAAGCCUCCCAUUGCUGUCCAAAAUCUGAGUCCCUGAUGAGGAUGCUGGGAAGAAAGUUUAGGAGAUGGGGACCUCUGUCACUUGCUAUACAAAGACAAAUUUAGAUUUGUUUAUUUGAAGGGAGAGUUACAGAGAGGAAGAGGCAGAGAAAGAAGGAAAGUUCUUUAAUCCGCUGAUUCGCUCCCCAGACGGCCGCAACAGCCAGAGCUGCACUGACCUGAAGCCAGGAGCUUCAUCCGGGCCUCCCAUGCGGGUAUGGGGGGCCCAAAAACUUGGACCAUCUUCUCCUGCUUUCCCAGGCCAUAGCAGAGAGCUGGAUGGCAAGUGGAGCAGCCAGGACUCAAACUGGCAUUCAUAUGGGAUGCCAGCACUGCAGGCGGUUGCUUUACCCGCUACACCACAGCUCCAGUCCUGAUGAAUUCUCUUAAGAACAGAGAACUGAUAACUGACUUGGCAGAGGAGACAAAGUUUGCCACUGACCAUGCUUCUCCGGAUAGGUGAUAAACUUUCUGAAGAAGGGACCAGCUAAUAGUCCACAAGCAAUUGCUGAAUUCUUGGAAGGCUUUUGGCAAGCUUGUAUUGAUUCAUUUUGGACUGACUGUAGUUAAUAUAGUUAAUUCUGCCAAAUACCGUCAUCUCCUCCACUGACUCAGUCAGCCAAUCACUGAAGCCCAAAUUCAAGGGAUGUGUAGGUAAAAUUUUCAUGUAGCGCUGCCAAUGCUAUAACCAGCUCUGGCCUUGUUUCAGUCUGUCCUAGGCCCGUGACAUCUACGUGCACCUUCUUCAGAAAAAGAAACCAGGAAAGAAUCUUUUAAUUCAGUUAUACCAGAUGUUGGGGGAGAAAAUGUUGGAAGAAGAUAAAAUAACCAAGCGAAUUAACUUCUGAGGGAAAUGAGAGACUAAAAGAAGUCAUUGAGUUUUUAAAAAAUCUAUUUUUAUUUAAAAAGGGAGUUGGUUUGUGACUUUGUACUUUGUUCUGGAAAUCACUUUUAUUUUCCUAACCACACCAAGUUGAUAAAAUCCAGAUGAGUAUUUGGCCAGAUGAACGCUCUGGAGAGCUCCCACAAGGAUGUCCAUCCAGAAAAGGCCAUCUGUCUCGCUCCCCAACACAGAACACUGCAAGCCAAAGGUAAAAGCAUAGGAUCACAAGGCUGGAAGUUUUUGACCACCAUCCGUGGCCUACCUGCUUACCGUCAGAUAACCACUCCUUUCUUGGUCUAAUGAGUCUGUGGGAAUCUCCAACAGACAGAGCCAAACAGAGUGAUGUUUGCAAUUGUGUUUCCAAAUUUUGCAAAGGGCCAUAGUAUAUGAUGAUUUUGGAAACAACAUGGACUGAAGCAGAUCCUCUAGAAAUAUGAUCUUAGGUGUUGAGACAUGGCCCCCAGAAUAAUGAUACAAGACAAAAAUGUGGAGCAAAAUAGAAAUGUACACUUUCAAGAUUGCAGUCAAAUUUCAAAAAUGUACAGGACAGUGAAGACAGGAGAGACAAGCCUGGCACUAACACAAACUCUUUAGCUUUAGUCAGUUGCUUCAUCAGAUGUCUCGGGCAGUAACAAGAUCACACACGGACAUGGACCUCAUCUUGGUGGAUGUGGGUGAAACUCUGGACUCUCGAGGUCUGUUCUACACUGUGUGACUAAGCAAUAUCUCAUCUCUUGUUGACUGUGAGUGAGGAUAUGAUUGAAAAAGAGAAGGAUGCUAAUUGUAUUGUGGGAAUAAUACAACUGGCUACUAGAGGUGGUUAAAUUUUGUUUGUUUGAAAGACCAGCGGGCUCCCAGGUGGCCAUGGCCUUCUGCUUUCUCAAACGAUGUUCACUUGACUCAAUGGCUGAUAAGAUUCUUGUCCCAUACUUACUAUGUUAAGUAUUACUGUAAGUUUACAUAACUAUAAAAGGAGUAACUCACUCUUAAGCAGCUGUUCACAUUUUGAAAUGAAAACAUAGGACAUUGGUCAAAUCAAGAGAAUAUUUUUGAUGCUGAGGAUAUCAAUAGCACUAGAUUACUGAUGGUUUCCCUUAAACAUUGUAAUAUAAGUGGAUUUUACUUUAAAUGCCGAGAUGUCAGUGAAAGAUUUGCAUUCUGGGGGCGAGAAAAUCUGAAUUAUUUAAGCAGGUCACAUGUCCUUCCUAAGAAUGGAUUGAGCUUUUCCCCUUUCCCCCUUGAGCCUACUAGCUCCUGAGCUCCCAUAACACCCACACAGCUGCUCUUUUACCCUGCUCUCAGCAACAGCAGUCUGUAGGUGCAUCAAGAAGAGCCUUCGACAAGGGGGUUGCCAACUAGGCCAAUAUUCCCAAAAAGUCUAAUAAGAAAAGCACGGGAAAUAGCCAUGGGCCUGGCAGCAUGGAAGUCAGUAGUGACCUGGUAAGGGCAGCUUCAGUGUCAGUGGUGUGUGUCGAGGGCAGAAGCCAGACAAGAGUGCAUUUGAGAAAGAAAUGAGAACAGCAUGUUCAGGCAGCUCCCUACAGAAGAGUGGCUAUGAAAUGAAGUAGAGUGAAAGAGGGCUGAUUACCCAAAGACUAGGGUCCCUAAAAAUGUGGAAGAGAGUGCGGCCUAGAACGCACUGAAGGGGUUGGCUCUUGGUUGAAGGGAUGCUUCUUUAGCCGUAGGAAAAAGGUAAGAAGAAUAUAGAUGCUGAUCUAGGUAGGUUUAGAAAUACAAUGUUAGAAAGAUUGGGAACGGAAAGUUUGGGCAGGGAGUAAUAGCAGUCUUUGGUUGUAAGCAACAAAAGGUAAUUAUCAUUAAUUUCAGUAAAACAAGUGUGUUAGAUGAAUUCUUGUUAGCCUACAAACAAAUUACAGGCUGCUAAUAACCAGUGAUGAUAGCCCUUAUGAUUCCCAAAGGGAGUUGGCUCUUUUUAGGUCUCUGGGACAGAGAAGCUGAGGAGCACAAUUCUUUACUCAAAAAUCAACUGUAACUCACAGAGUAGGGUACCACAGGAGAAUCGGGAAUUUCCCGAUCUUUUUAUUAUACAAGAGUGAGAAGUCUGGAAAGUGGGGGUCACCUAUCUCCUCCCCUGUCUUCCCCUUCCCAUUUUUUUCCUCCCUCAAAACUCCCAGGAUCUAGAGUUGCCCCUUUUCAGAAAGUGGAGCUUCUGACUUGUGCUUUGUGCCACCCUUCCUGUGAGCUUGUGCCAGAUGCUUAAUGCACUUCUCACCUGCAGGGGUCAGAAAAUGAGUGGGAUCCAUGGGGUGAUCUUUGAAGCAACGAACAGAACAGCAUGGCUGAGUCUUAGCAGCAACAAUACUCCCACAUGAAGAAAGCACGGGUUUUCUGCCAAGGCAGCACAAUUUAGCUGCAUAGAAGGGGAAAAUAUUUUGAACUUCCUCCUUUCACAGGGGCUACUCUUUUAUUUUUUAAAAUUUCCUAGUUAAAUUAUUAUUUUUACAAUUUUAUUUAUUUAGAUACAGAGAGGAGGAAAGUGAGUUUUCAUCUGCUGGUUCAUCCCCCAAAUGCCCAGAUUUGGGAACCUAACCCCAGUCUCCUAGAUAGGUGUCAGGAGUCCAACCACUUUAGCCCUCACUGCUGCCUCCUGGGGUCUGCAUUAGCAAGAUGCUAGGGUCAGAAGCCAGGAACUGAACCCAGUAAGUCCAGUGUGGGACACAUGUGUCCCAGAUGACUGUUUAACUGCUAGGCCAAACAUCCACCCCCACAAAUUAUUCUGAUAUUACUGUGUUAAGGAGCACUGGACUUGACCCAGAGCCUCUUUUAUUGCCUGAGUUGUUGCAACAGGCUGCGAGUGGCACUUUCUCAGCCAUUCAGCACGGCCAAUACCAAUUCUUGAGGAAUUUUUCCAGAUCCUCCCAAAGAGAUGGUGGUGACUUCAAUUGGUCCUGCUUCCCACUAUGAAAUAUCAAAGCCAAAUAGAUGUCAAAAAGAGAGCAGAGAUGACCAUUUUUAUGUAAAAUUGCCCUAUUGGGUCAAGAAAAAACAAUGUUAUCAAUUCUCUGAAAGUUUUCCGGUUCUUGAGGACUUGUGCGCAGUUAUCAAGUUGCGAAGGACCUCUUUUGGUUGUUAAAAUACUCUUCCAACUUAUUAGGAGAUGAUUCUUGAGAGAGCACUGGUAUUAGCUGGCCAGCACACUUGGUCUAGUGUAGAAAAGUCUGCAUGGAAAACCACGUUUAUUUACUCCCUGUUCCUUGGCCUGCGAGUAAUGGGGAUGCGAUACAAAGAUAGAAUGUCCCAAGUGUAAUCCCAAAGUUCAAUCUGGAUUCUUUAGGCUCCAACCCCCCAUAUGAGACUUUUUCUUUCCCUUUCCCCCCACCUAUUAGCUUCCUUGAAUUUGUUGUUCCCGUCCAGUGACUUUUCUCCCCCUCACUAAACUCUUUUGAGUAGGGACAACAUUCCAUUCAUCUUUGAGCUGCUGCAUCUUCUCCCAGGAGAUCAGGGCAGGUUUUGCAUACAGGAGGUGUUCAGGAUUUGUUUGUUAUGUUACCACUAGAAGAUGUUUUGGAAAAAAUACUUCCUCCUUGACCCUCAAGAGGCUGCGUGAUGUAUGGAGCAAGCAGUAGAUUUGUAAUCAAAAGUUACUGGUUUGACUCUUGAUUCUACCACUUACUUGCUCUGGGUCUUAGGAUGAAAUCACUCAGCGCCUCUAGGCCUCAGUCUCUUCAUCUAUAAAAUGAACAAUCCUUAUCCAACAGGAAGAUCAAAUGAGAUCAGGAUGUCAAAGUGUUUUAAAGGCUAUAUAAAACGAACACUUAAUAAUGAUCAUGGAGUCAGAACAAAGGAACUAGUAUGGUCUUAAUGACUAUUGUUAACACCUACCUUUGGUCUACCUGUCUUUUCAUCUUUAUAUCCUUAGCACCUAGCACAACACUUUACAGAGGAGGCUCUCAAUAGAUUUUCUUAAAUAAAUGCCAAUGUUAUUAAACAUCUGUUUCCAACCCGCUUAGGUGCUUGCUGCAGGCACUGAAGCAAAUAAGUCCAGAACAUUUCAUGUGGAUGUGGGUUGUGGGUGAUGUGUACAGAGAAGCAGGCUGUCUCCCUCCUGUAGAGGUCAUGGGUGGGUGGAGUGGUUCUCGAAGCCCCUGAUGUUCUUAGAUCUGUAGGGUGGGGUGUACCUGCUGACCCUGCUCUGUGUUAUCCCCAGGAACAGAUAAUCCUGAUGAGGUCUUUUAGUCGUGGGCCUGUUGUUGGACACAGAAUGCGCAGAUACUAACACAGCAAGUUUAGGAAUAGGACAGAUUCUUGGAAUGAGGCUCCAGGAGACCCACUGAGAAGGGUGGAUUCCUCUAGGGAAAGAGACUAAGAAAGUGAACUAUACAAGGAUUAUUGGCCAGCGGUGGGAGGGAGAAGAUGAACAGGAGAAGAUGAUGAUUGGAACAAACUGGGAGUGUCUUGUACCCUUGGAGUGUCCAUUGACACAGAGUAUGUGGAAUGUUCUGGUUGCUCUUCCAGUUGUAUCAACCAAGUAACCAAACACCCACCUUAUUAUGUGUUCAUAAAGAAGUUGUUUCACUGAAAAUAUCCUCUUGAUAAUUAGAAUAAUAAUUUCACCACAUCUUUUUUGUUCUGGCUACCCUGUUAAGGGAUUAUCUAGUGGAAAAUGGAUUUU